CCUGCCAACUUUUGUAUUUUAAGUAAAGACGGGGUUUCACCAUGUUGGCCAGGCGUGUCUUGAAAUCCUGACCUCAGGUGAUCUGCCUGCCUUGAUCUCCCAAAGUGCUGGGAUUGUAGGCAUGAGCCACCAUGCCUGACCUGACAUAGUUUUAACUAUUAGAAGAAACCACAGGAAGCUACCAUUUGAAUAGAUCAAACAUUAGCAAUAUAUUAAAAUAUCAGCAAUUUCAUAUGCUCAAGAUUAUUUUUUAAAAAAUAAAAAGAGAAGAGAAUUGAUUCAAUUUCUAGGCCAGCAACCAAAGAAAAAGCAAGAAAUGGAAGAUUUUACAAUUAUAUAGUAAUAGCAAGAUCUUACAUUUCUAUUGAGUUUUAAAGAUUACAAAACACAUCAAUAUACAUUGCCUUGUUUGAUCUUUAAACAACUCUAUAAUUGUAAUUAAUAUAUCUAAAAAUUGUAACUCUUGAGAAAUCCAGGACGAAACAAAUGAAGCCUAAACACAGCUUUAAUUUGCCAAGUAAUGGGUGGAGAAGGGAUCAGAAGCUGGGCUGACUGACCCCACGUCCUCUUCUUCCAUUACUUAAAAGAAGUCAGCCAGCACAAAACCUUGGGAAGGACCUGAGAUAAAGGCAGUGGGAAAAGAGCAGAGUCAAGGAUGAUCUAUAAACAGAGGUAAAAGAAGGAAUGCCUUAAAUACAAAAACAUAUGUCCACAGAGCUGGGAGUUGUACAAAGCCAUGUAAUUAGAGAACAUCAUGUUGACAGCAGACUCUUGACCUGGGGGAAAAACGUUCACGACACUGACUCCAAGAAGGAUAAACUUGAAGGAUUCCAGAUGUGAGGCAGUCAAAGCCUCACUUGGAAGCACUGUACAAAUGUUCAUGUCAAGAACUGAAAUGAAUUUAUACCCACAUAAAACUACAUGUAGGGGAAGGCUUACUUUGUAAGAUGUUUCCGGACACUACAUUAGCAGCUGUACCGCACACACUUACACAACACAAACACAGGCAAGCUUGUCACCUGCACAGCUGGAGGGUUAGCCUGGACAGGGCGAUUACAGUCUCUCCUGAACCUCUUCCUUCUCGUCCGUGACUGAAUCCUAUUCACAUGCUAUAAGGACCAUGGGCUUGUGGAAUCCAACUUAGCUUCCUUUAGAACCAAAGGAUGCCUCUGUGACACAUGCAGAAAUGACUUCCUUUUAUUUUUCAUUCAGUCCGUAGGAAGAGAACAGCUGCAAGAGAGAGAAAGAAAAUGUACACGGUGGCUAGGUGGAGACGGCACCUGAAGAAUCUCACUUGCCAAACGCCACAGGAUGCAAGCCAACAGACGGGCCCAGAGAGCUCUCGUGAGCCGGAACUGUCACAUAAGAAGCAAAACCACGAGAGAGAGAACACCACCCACAUCCAACACAGCAUAGCCACCCUGAAAGCCUCAGCAUGUAAACUUUCGUGGCACCACCCUUUCUUUUAGAAAUGUGUUUAGAUUUUAUAGACUUUUGCUAGACUUUGUUAUGUAAG
rnacentral:lncRNA from 10 species